GACGAACGCUGGCGGCGUGCUUAACACAUGCAAGUCGAACGGAAAGGCCCUGCUUUUGUGGGGUGCUCGAGUGGCGAACGGGUGAGUAACACGUGAGUAACCUCCCCUUACCUUUGGGGUAACUUCAGAAACCUGGGCCUAUUCCGGAAAAGGACUUCUUGCUCAUGGUUGGGGUUGGGAAGGUUUAGGCGGUUGGGGAUGGACUCGCGGCUUAUCAGCUUGUUGGUGGGGUAGUGGAUUACCAAGGCUUUGACGGGUAGCAGGCCUGCGCGGGUGACCGGCCAAAUUGGGACUGAGAUACGGCACAGACUCCUACGGGAGGCAGCAGUGGGGAAUAUUGCACAAUGGGCGGAAGCCUGAUGCAGCAAAGCCGCGUGCGGGAUGACGGCCUUCGGGUUGUAAACCGCUUUCGCCUGUGACGAAGCGUGAGUGACGGUAAUGGGUAAAGAAGCACCGGCUAACUACGUG
rnacentral:rRNA from 1 species